rnacentral:misc_RNA from 1 species
AACGCACAUUGCGCUUCCUGGUAUUCCGGGGAGCAUGCCCGUUUCAGAAUCAUAAUAAUCUCACAAAGCUAUUUGCUUUCGAGCUUUUGGCCGUGUGGAGUUGGGAUUUUUUGCAGUUUGCCUGCAAUCGCCCAAAAAUGAUUGUAUGUGCGCCAAUUGAGCAAAGUUGGUUGUCAAAGUGCAACAGAGGUCUACUUCCAUUCACUUUGACAGUUUAAUUUUGAGCGUUGUGACGCGUAUGCCGCCAACAUCAAACAUUCAGCAGGACGCAAUGUCGUGCUGUUUGAAAUCUUGGUCUGAAAUCGGGCAAGAAAACCCGCUGAACUUAA